rnacentral:rRNA from 1 species
UUGUAAAAUUAUUUCAAAUAUAUAAAAGUUACCUUUUGCAUAAUGGUUUAAUUAAAUUUUAAAAAUUUUUCAUUCCCGAAAUAAAAAGAUCUAAUAAAAAAUUAAAAAUAUGUUUUAAAAUAUUUAUUUAAUUUUUUAUUAGGUGUGAAAGGCUAGUCAAUUUUUAUGAUAUCUGGAUAAGAUUAAAUGUAUUUAGUACAGGCUUAAAGCUGAUGAGCCCCCUGUUAAGGGGGGGCUCAAAAAGUAUAUUGAUAUUAUAAAUUUAUUUAGGAUAAUUCUAUAAUAACUACUGUGUGUUUAUAAUUAUUUAUUUACUGAUCUGGAUUUUUUUUCUAGAAAAUUCUAAUUUCUUAAAUUUUUCAUAAUGUUAAAAUAAGUAUUAUUAUUUAAUAAUUAAAUAUAGGAACUCGGCAAGCAA